CCUACGGGAGGCUGCAGUGAGGAAUAUUUGUCAAUGGGCGUAAGCCUGAACCAGCCAAGUCGCGUGAGGGAUGAAGGUUCUAUGGAUCGUAAACCUCUUUUAUAAGGGAAUAAAGUGUGGGACGUGUCCUGUUUUGUAUGUACCUUAUGAAUAAGGAUCGGCUAACUCCGUGCCAGCAGCCGCGGUAAUACGGAGGAUCCGAGCGUUCUCCGGAUUUAUUGGGUUUAACGGGUGCGUAGGCGGCCUUUUAAGUCAGCGGUGAAAGUCUGUGGCUCAACCAUAGAAUUGCCGUUGAAACUGGGAGGCUUGAGUAUGUUUGAGGCAGGCGGAAUGCGUGGUGUAGCGGUGAAAUGCUUAGAUAUCACGCAGAACCCCGAUUGCGAAGGCAGCCUGCCAAGCCAUGACUGACGCUGAUGCACGAAAGCGUGGGGAUCAAACAGGAUUAGAUACCCGAGUAGUC
rnacentral:rRNA from 1 species